UCUUAAAAAAUACACUUCUGUUUUAGAAAAUUACAUUCAUUUUUAUUAUUAGAAACACUUUGUGUGUAUGGAAAAAUGUGGACAUUAUCUUCUUAACUUAUCUUAUAAUAUAAAAUACAGAUGUUACUUAAAAAAAGAAGAUGAUUAUGUCCUACUCGUUUCUCUAAGUCAAUCUAGUCGCAUAUGUUAAUCAAUGACUUAAACUUUGCCAAGUCAUUGGUUUUCCUGGAUGACUCAGGACGGCUGCCUGGUCGGGAUGGCUGUCUGGUCGGAAUGGCUGCCUGGUCGUGCGGUUAGCUCGCUUGACUGUCGUUCGGAUUUAUUGAUGGUCAAGGGUUCAAAUCCUGCCCGCUCCCAUCCCCCA